rnacentral:rRNA from 1 species
GUUAAGUGCGUGCCAGCGGCGGCGGUAAGACGAACCGGCCAAACGGUAUUCGGGAUUACUGGGCUUAAAGGGUGCGUAGGCGGCCUGACAAGUUGGGUGUGAAAUACCUCGGCUCAACCGAGGAAUGGCGCUCAAAACUGCCAGGCUUGAGGAAGAUAGAGGUGAGCGGAACUUAAGGUGGAGCGGUGAAAUGCGUUGAUAUCUUAAGGAACACCCGUGGCGAAAGCGGCUCACUGGAUCUUUUCUGACGCUGAUGCACGAAAGCUAGGGGAGCAAACGGGAUUAGAUACCCGAGUAGUC